rnacentral:rRNA from 1 species
UACGUAGGGUGCAAGCGUUAAUCGGAAUUACUGGGCGUAAAGCGUGCGCAGGCGGUUUUGUAAGUCUGUCGUGAAAUCCCCCGGGCUCAACCUGGGAAUUGCGAUGGAGACUGCAAGGCUAGAAUCUGGCAGAGGGGGGUAGAAUUCCACGUGUAGCAGUGAAAUGCGUAGAGAUGUGGAGGAACACCGAUGGCGAAGGCAGCCCCCCUGGGUCAAGAUUGACGCUCAUGCACGAAAGCGU